CAUUUGGCUGCUAACAUACCAGACUACACAUAUACAGAACACUGGUAAGAUUCCUGAUUACUUACACAUGUGGAAACCACUAGUAUAACAACUUUAAUUUCAGCAAUUCAGUUUCAGGUACAUUCCCAGACAACCUACGUGAAAUCAAAAGCAGAGGUGGAAAGAUCCGAGGUAAAUACUGGAGAGAGAAGAAGGCUACAGGGGAACAUGGAUGUUUGGAAAAAACUUCUUCUAUUAUGAGCUUAACUGUUGCUGCUGUGAAUUGCAGGGCAUACUUUCUUCUCCCCCUCUUUUCCUGAGGAGCGGGAGUGACAGAGCAGUUGCGGUGGAGUUCAGCUGCCCAGCCUAGUAAAACCUCCACAGGCUCACAUCUCUUCAGAUCUCCUGUGUCAUUCUGGAUAUACUGCUUCUUCGGUGCCUCUGCCUCCCAGCCAGAUCAUGGGAAGGAAGAAUGACUGAUCCUUCAUUCAGCCUGCCUGAGGGGUCCAUGUUGAUCUGAUCACAGUUUUCCAAGCUUUCCUGAGGUAUGAGUGAAACAGCACGAGGGAGAAGGCUGCAGACUGUUGGGGCAGAGUACUGCACUGAAAUGGUUUGCCAUUAAAUAGAAUAUCCCACCUCCAGAUUGAGCCCUGCCAGUCAAAUCAGCAUCACUCUCUAGCACGCCAUUUUUUGUCCUAGGAAAUAUUUUGAAGGUGCUUCAAUUUUUAUGACUCAGCGAAGUUUAGAAAACUAAGGGCCAUGGUGUCUGACCAUCCUUCAGAUUUUGCAAGGUUGUUGGGCAGAUAAGUGGGAGCCAGGAUUCCAGCUAUGCCUUCAAAACAUUGUCAUGAAUAAUUGCCCCUCUAAGACGAAGAAUGGUUGGCAGGAGCAUCAAAAAUUAUUUCUUUCUGAGCUCAGACAAGAGGUAGAAAUUGCACCAGCUUAACAUUUGACAGACCAGGAAGUGACUUCUAAUUUUCUCAUAAGUCAGAAAGUGCUUCUCCCUGUGGAAAACAUGGAAAAGCAGAAAACAGCUGACUGCCACAAGGAAUACCACGUAUUGACAAUCCCAUCUACCACCUAAUCUACCAAAAAAAAAAAAAAAAAACCAGAAGCGAAGAAUAAAAAGAGAAUAAAAGUUAGUUGUUUUUAAGAAUUGUUUUUAAAAUAUAUUUUAGAUACAGUAGUCUGAUUUUCAAGAUGGUACCAUUUUAGCUCCUUUUUAUACCCGCUGAACUCUUUACUUAACAGUAUUACUUCAAACAUUUAAGUACAUAACGAAAAAUAACAUUUCUGUCUGUAUCUAGGAAACAAGGAUGGCUCAAGGUUAUGCAUAACCACACAAAAGUUUUUAAAAAAAUUGUUGUUCUCCCAACAGAGGGCUCCAACUGUACUACGCGUAGGUACCUACUCACAACUUGUGGGAGCAGUGCACAUGGCCCACCUACUAAACAGCUUUCUACUUGAGGUUAGUACAGUCAGAAACUGUGGGCUUCUCGCUCGGCCACCCUAGCUGAGGAGGAAAUCACCUCUGCUAGAGCAGCGCAGCAGUCACCUGGAAGGCGGGGGUGGCCACCAUUUCCUCCGCGUACACCCAUGGCCGGACACCCACACGUUUGCCACCGCUUGCAGAAUCUUGCCCUAGGCAGAGCCAUCUGUGCUGUUUGCUUGUUCAUGUCAGCCCUGCAGAGAUACCACUCAAGGCAACGAAAAUCUUUGCAGGUUUUGCGUUUAAAUUAUUGAGCACGUUUAAAUGAAUUAUUGAGUACAUUUUCUGUCUGCACUGCUGGAAGUAGAGGUUCCCACACCGAAGUCGUGGACAGGUGGCCUGCACUCGCUGAACACAAAAAGGCAAUGUUAUAAACCAGGCCAAGCACCCUGUUAGGUAAUACACACCUUGAAAAAAACACCACACUUAGCUUCUUCAAACUCAUAUCAAACAUUUCUCAUCAAAACAAUGAGCAGAUAGAUCAGGAUGCAAAACUUGAAAUGGCUCGGGUGGGCCUCUCCUGGGAAGGUCAGGGUGAAGUGUUUGUUGCUUGAUAGGCCCACAGAACAUCAGGACAUCCAGGGAGAGAUGCAAUGUAGGGGUGAACUCAUGAUCAAGUGGUGGACCUGACAGUUCAGACCAUGACACAGGUUAUCCAUGAACAUAAAACAUGCUGCAGUCAAAAAAGCUGUGUGAGUACAAUCUCCACCAGGUGGCUGGAAACAUACCUGGCAGACGAAGCAACUGCCUGAAAUGCCAUCUCGGGCCUUGAAAAGUGAACUUUGUGGUGUCAUGGUACCCAAAGGAGAAUUCAGAGAAUUCAGAUAUUUUAUUUGUUUUAAUCUUUCUUUCUCUCUCUCUCUCUUUCUUUCUCUC